rnacentral:tRNA from 1 species
GCUCCUGUAGUUAAACGGAUAUAACAGCGGUCUUCGGAACCGCGGUUGGGGGUUCGAUUCCCUCCGGGAGCACAA